GUAUGACGGCGACCCAAAGCCCAGCCGCUCUCUGGCUCUGGACGAGGACGAAGGCUUCAGCGACUGGACGCAGCGCCGAGAGAGACGGAGGCAGCAGCGUCUGCAGGAGCUCAGCCAGGGAGGCGAGGAGGACGAGGACGAAGAGGAGGACGCCAUAAAUCGAGCCGUUCCGGAGAACGCCGUCAAGGUCUCUGGUCCACUCCAGAGGCAGGAGCGCUUGAAAGGAGAUGGGCCCGGGGGGGGAGCUGGAGAGGAGGAAGGAGCAGGAGGAGAAAGCCGUUCGAGCUGAGAGGGUGAGGAGGGAGGAAGAGGAGGACAGGAGAAAGGGAGAGGAGGUGAUGAACGGGAGGAAGGAUGAGAUUCAAAAGCCGAACACAGAGGUGGAGAGAAGAAAAGAGGUUCAGAUCUCCUACACAUCCAAGGUUGUUCUUCACCAUGAGCCAAAACCCGACAAUGCCAACGGAGAGGCCAUCGAGGAGGAAGUGACAUCGCACAAAAAUAUCAAGACACAAAGGUCCUCCAGAGCCGUGGAGUCAGAGGAGGCGGAGACCAUCCUGGAGACAGAGCGCCGGCUAGAGAAGAUCCGGCAGGGCCUCCAGCAGAAGGGCAACCAGGAGCUGGAACAGCUGAGGCACCGACAGGUUGAGGCCGAGCAGGAGCUGGAGCAGCUGAAGAGGAGGCGGGAGGAGAGGCGGCGGGCCCGGGCCGAGGAGCAGCACCGGAGAGAGGAGGAGGAGCAUCAGCGGCUGGCCAGGGAAGAGGUGGGCGGAGCUAUAGCUCAAGGCUAUUUAAAAGGAUGAAAGACUCUUCUGCGAUCAUAAUGUUCUUUGUGUAAUAAAUCUUAAUGCCUGAUAAGCUAGUGGACAGAUGAGAAACUCUUUUAUUUGGUAUCAGGUCUUUCUCCGAUGUUUGAUACUGAAAACAUCUGUACGAAGCUCCAUAUGUUUACAAUGUAACAAUGCAAAAACAUAAAAACACAACAACGUAGGAACGUGUAGCAACGUAACAAUGUAAAGUAACAAUGUAGUCAAACAAUGCAACGUAACAAUGUAGCUAAAAUAAAUGGCAACAGUACUCAACACAUCUUCUGAAGUAACUCUUAAGACAAACACAACAACUCAUUAUCGUACCACCCAGCGUUGCUCCGUACGGCACGUCAGCUCUGAACCAAUGAAAAUAACUUGUGACGUCUCAUCGUUGCUGUUUCCUAGUUACUGAACUGAGAUUUCUCAAUGUGCACCUUGCUUGAGUCUUAACUAACAUAUAAGACAAUACCGUGGUUCUUUUAGCUCAUGUAGAGUUUUUCUCUCUUUAUUUAAUUAUCAAUAUUAAGCAUUAAAGCUAAUAGCUAAGUCAUUAGCUAACCAGACUCCACCGGGGAUGUAGGACUUUGGCGCUAACCAGUGUCUGUGACUCCCAGGAGGAAAGGAGGCGCAUGAAGGAGGACAUGGAGAGGAGGAGGAUGGAGGCGGCAGAGAGGAUGAAGAGCCUGAGCACGUCCAGCGUCGACGGAGACGAGGCCUUCAGUCCCUUCAGUCCCAAGACUCCAACCAACAAGGUAAAUAUUACCUGAGAAGCUCCAGGAGCUAGUGGAGAGAAGAGGCCGGACAGGAAGUGACAUCAUGCCUGUGGCUCUUUGUGAUGACCUCACACCCAGGAGGGCUAAUCCAUCUCAUUGAGUGAAAACAGAUCUCUGAUGGACACGAAUGAUGAUGUCACUCCUGUAAACAACAUGGCGGCAUGUUGUCUUCACAGAUGAUGGGCUCGCCUCGUAAGUUGUGUGUGUGCAUGUGUGUGUGUGUGUGUGUGUGUGUGCAUGUGAGUGUGUGUGUGUGUUUUGAAAAGCAUGUCCCAAACUCACUGAUGUUGGUGGGUGAGUUGGAUUUGUGCACAGGGACCUCCCAACAUUCAGCUGUGUUUU
ensembl:lncRNA